rnacentral:rRNA from 1 species
AUGGUGCCACGGUUCUGCUCGGCAAUUGAAGGAUGGAUAAUAAUUGUCUCAGGAGUCAAAGAAGAUGCAGAAGAAAGUGAUCUCUAUGAUGCUUUUGCUGAGUUUGGUGAGGUCAAGGACUUGCAUUUGAACCUGGAGCGCCGCACUGGAUAUGUCAAGGGAUAUGCAUUGGUUGAAUAUGGAAUUUUUGAGGAAGCACAAACUGCAAACAGAAUAAUGAAUGGGACAGAGCUGUUAACAAAGACUAUCCAUGUUGAUUGGGCAUUCAACAGAGGUGGGCUUCGCUGCCAUGGAAUGACACCUCUGAUCUUCCAUGUAGAUGAGCUCGGGUUCAUGGAAGCCAUGUCCAAGCAAACUGAGUGCUUUGAAGUAUAUUACCCUUGCAAUGUGAUGGAACCAGUAGACAUUAUACCAUUGAGUGCAAUUCCCUAUGGGCAAGCCUUAAAUCAUUAUCUUGAACAGAUAGUUUCACUUUUUCGCGACAGAAUAUAUGCUGUGAAUGAAAUCGGCCUUGAUGACCGCUAUUUAGAAUUUAGGCAAGUGGAAGGAGAUGGGGAGUGUUUCUACAGGAGCUUCAUAUUUUCCUACCUUGAGCAAGUUCUUGAUAGGAAAGACACAAAUGAGGAACGCCGCCUCCUUGCAGCUAUCCAAGAGUUGGCUGAGGAACCUGCACGUUUUGGAUGGGCCUCUGAAUUUUCUAGGAGCCAUGAUGUUAAUGUCAAGGGCUUGAAAGGUGUGAGGGAAGUAAACAUGGAUCUGAUGAUCUUCCCUGCGAGGCGCUACAGAUCAGAUGGGCGCUGUUGUGAAGGCCGCGAAGGCGUGGCAGGUGGCAUGGGACCAAAUAGGGAAGAAAUCUUGCAUGCAGUCUCUCCAAAAGUGACUACUCAAAUGAAUCAUAGUCUAUGUGCGGAAUAUACAAAAGAGGAAGUGAAAGAAGCUCUGUUCAAUAUUGGUGACCUGAAGGCGCCAGGACCAGAUGGAAUGCCUACAAUAUUCUACAAGCAGUUCUCGCAACUGGUGGGCAAUAAGUUAACAGGGGAAGUGCUGAAGUUCCUUCGAGGUGGAGAAAUGCCGGAAGGAUGGAACGGUACCACAGUGGUGUUAAUUCCAAAAAUUUCAAACCCAGAGACCUUGAAGGACCUAAGAACAAUUAGCCUCUGCAAUGUCAUUUACAAGAGAAGGAGAAGGGGUAAGGUAGGAUAUGCUGUUGUAAAGCUCGACAUGAGUAAGGCUUACGGCCGAGUAGAAUGGACAUUCUUGAAGGAAAUGAUGUUAAAAUUGGGGUUUGAUAGUGAAUGGGUAAACCUGGUGAUGAAGUGUGUUGCAACUGGGAGGUACCAGAUCAAAGUUCCAGUUGCUGUGACAACUGUACGUCUGGUUAGGGAGGCUGAGAUUAAACUCAGAAGACCUCGUCUUCACCUUAUUCCCCUUGAGCUAAGGACACCCAGUCCUCGCCCAAUCACUCUGGGGGUGGGCUAUUUAUAG